rnacentral:sRNA from 1 species
GUGAUAGAGAUUCUUACCAGCAGUGCCACAUUGUUGGAGCUUACAGUUACCCAAUUGCAACUCUGUCUAGAACAAUGAACCCUUAUUCAAAUGAUAUUCUUGAAUAUAAAAAUGCCCAUGGCAAGAUCAUCAUUCUGUAUGACGAUGAUGAAAGGCUGGCCAGUCAGGCGGCCACCACCAUGUGCGAGCGUGGAUUUGAAAACCUCUUCAUGCUUUCCGGAGGUGAGCAAGGUGAUACUCUGCUUGGGACUUCAAAGGCUGAUCAUCCUUCAGUCCCACCUGCAUCCCCUUUUCUCUCUUGGUGCUCAGAAUUCAGUGUUCUGGAAAGAGAAAAGGCCAUGCUGGCUGAAAGGAGUCAGGAGUUAUGUGAAACUUCCCUUAGCUUCAUCAGCACAUGUUUUUAAUUCCUGAUGUUGCUUCAGGGCUCUGUCACAAAGCCCUAAUGCUGAAGACUCGAGCAAAAGGAUUUCUUGUGGAAUUCUCAGAAUCCCAUGUAACAACACAUAUUUUCUGGUAUAAUUUGCUUAAUGAUGAAAUAGUUAAGAAAGAUUUCAUGUCCUUGUGUUGGCCUCAACUUGAUGACCAGAGAUUAGAAGACAUGCAGGCUUCUUUCCAGGUUUUGGCCUGGCCUUGCCAUAUUAAUGCAGCUUUUUCUGAUGAU